AUGAAAUACAUGGCAAUUGAAUUUUUUGAUUGCGCCAUAAGGAACCGAUGACUGAGAUUACAAAUGCU
ensembl:ncRNA R07B1.21 ncRNA